rnacentral:piRNA from 1 species
UAGGUCAGUGUGAAGCCUACAGCUCCUC